GACGAACCCUUGCGGCGUGCUUAACACAUGCAAGUCGAACGGAAAGGCCCUGCUUUUGUGGGGUGCUCGAGUGGCGAACGGGUGAGUAACACGUGAGUAACCUGCCCUUGACUUUGGGAUAACUUCAGGAAACUGGGGCUAAUACCGGAUAGGAGCUCCUGCUGCAUGGUGGGGGUUGGAAAGUUUCGGCGGUUGGGGAUGGACUCGCGGCUUAUCAGCUUGUUGGUGGGGUAGUGGCUUACCAAGGCUUUGACGGGUAGCCGGCCUGAGAGGGUGACCGGCCACAUUGGGACUGAGAUACGGCCCAGACUCCUACGGGAGGCAGCAGUGGGGAAUAUUGCACAAUGGGCGGAAGCCUGAUGCAGCAACGCCGCGUGCGGGAUGACGGCCUUCGGGUUGUAAACCGCUUUCGCCUGUGACGAAGCGUGAGUGACGGUAAUGGGUAAAGAAGCACCGGCUAACUACGUGCCAGCAGCCGCGGUGAUACGUAGGGUGCGAGCGUUGUCCGGAUUUAUUGGGCGUAAAGGGCUCGUAGGUGGUUGAUCGCGUCGGAAGUGUAAUCUUGGGGCUUAACCCUGAGCGUGCUUUCGAUACGGGUUGACUUGAGGAAGGUAGGGGAGAAUGGAAUUCCUGGUGGAGCGGUGGAAUGCGCAGAUAUCAGGAGGAACACCAGUGGCGAAGGCGGUUCUCUGGGCCUUUCCUGACGCUGAGGAGCGAAAGCGUGGGGAGCGAACAGGCUUAGAUACCCUGGUAGUCCACGCUGUAAACGGUGGGUACUAGGUGUGGGGUCCAUUCCACGGGUUCCGUGCCGUAGCUAACGCUUUAAGUACCCCGCCUGGGGAGUACGGCCGCAAGGCUAAAACUCAAAGGAAUUGACGGGGCCCCGCACAAGCGGCGGAGCAUGCGGAUUAAUUCGAUGCAACGCGUAGAACCUUACCUGGGUUUGACAUGGAUCGGGAGUGCUCAGAGAUGGGUGUGCCUCUUUUGGGGUCGGUUCACAGGUGGUGCAUGGCUGUCGUCAGCUCGUGUCGUGAGAUGUUGGGUUAAGUCCCGCAACGAGCGCAACCCUUGUUCACUGUUGCCAGCACGUUAUGGUGGGGACUCAGUGGAGACCGCCGGGGUCAACUCGGGGGAAGGUGGGGAUGACGUCAAGUCAUCAUGCCCCUUAUGUCCAGGGCUUCACGCAUGCUACAAUGGCUGGUACAGAGAGUGGCGAGCCUGUGAGGGUGAGCGAAUCUCGGAAAGCCGGUCUCAGUUCGGAUUGGGGUCUGCAACUCGACCUCAUGAAGUCGGAGUCGCUAGUAAUCGCAGAUCAGCAACGCUGCGGUGAAUACGUUCCCGGG
rnacentral:rRNA from 1 species